rnacentral:rRNA from 1 species
GGCUCUUUGUUAAAUAUACAUAAAGAGUCGGGCCUGCCCAGUGAUAAUAUAUUUAACGGCCGCAGUACCCUGACUGUGCAAAGGUAGCAUAAUCAUUUGCCCUAUAACUGAGGGCUAGUAUGAAUGGUUUAACGAGAACAUUACUGUCUCUAAUAAAAUAUAUAUAAAUUAAAUUUUAGGUGAAGAUGCCUAAAUUAAACUAAAAGACGAGAAGACCCUAUUGAGCUUAAAAUACUUAUAGAAAAAUCUAGACAGUUUUUUUGGUUGGGGCGACCUAAGAACAUUUAAAGCUUCUUUAAUUAAUUAAUACCUUAUAUGAUGAUCCGUUAUAAACGAUUAACAAAAUUAGCUACCGUAGGGAUAACAGCGUAAUUCUUUUUGAGAGCUCGUAUCAAAAAAAAAGUUUGCGACCUCGAUGUUGGAUUAAAAUAUCCUAAAGGUGCAGUCGCUUUUAAGGGUUGGUCUGUUCGACCAUUAAAAUUUU